rnacentral:rRNA from 1 species
AACGAAUGCUGGCGGCCGGCCUUACACAUGCAAGUCGAACGUGAAAGUCCUUCGGGAUGAGUAAAGUGGCGCACGGGUGAGUAACGCGUGGGAACAUGCCCUUCAGUACGGGAUAACAGCGGGAAGCUGCUGCUAAUACCGUAUAUUCCCUACGGGGGAAAGAUUUAUCGCUGAAGGAUUGGCCCGCGUUAGAUUAGCUAGUUGGUGAGGUAAUGGCUCACCAAGGCUACGAUCUAUAGCCGGUCUGAGAGGACGAUCGGCCACACUGGAACUGAGACACGGUCCAGACUCCUACGGGAGGCAGCAGUGGGGAAUAUUGGACAAUGGGCGAAAGCCUGAUCCAGCCAUGCCGCGUGAGUGAUGAAGGCCUUAGGGUUGUAAAGCUCUUUUGGCGGGGAAGAUAAUGACGGUACCCGCAGAAUAAGCCCCGGCUAACUUCGUGCCAGCAGCCGCAGUAA